rnacentral:lncRNA from 1 species
UAUAUCUAUAUAUAUAGAAUUAGGCCACUAUCGAUAAUACCAAGUCUUUGAUACUAUUGAGUUUUCGGUCGUUGGAUGAAAGGAUGUUCGGUUAAGAUGAUAGUGGUCCUCUGGGGUUGAGUGGGUGGUUGGUUUAAUAGUAUAAUCUAACGGAUGAAAAUAAUCAAAGGGCAGAUCUAACGGUAAAAAUCUCAAUAGUACCAAAGAGCUUGGUACUAUUGAUAGUAUAGUAAUCGAACUCUAUAUAUAUAUAGCUGCAGUUUCAUAACAUAAACAACUGAGAUAGAUAGAAAUAAUAUAACAUGAUAGUUUAAGCUUAAAAACGCCUGUUUACUCCAACU